AAAUUGAAGAGUUUGAUCAUGGCUCAGAUUGAACGCUGGCGGCAGGCCUAACACAUGCAAGUCGAACGGUAACAGGAAGCAGCUUGCUGCUUCGCUGACGAGUGGCGGACGGGUGAGUAAUGUCUGGGAAACUGCCUGAUGGAGGGGGAUAACUACUGGAAACGGUGGCUAAUACCGCAUAACGUCGCAAGACCAAAGAGGGGGAUCUUCGGGCCUCUUGCCAUCAGAUGUGCCCAGAUGGGAUUAGCUUGUUGGUGAGGUAACGGCUCACCAAGGCGACGAUCCCUAGCUGGUCUGAGAGGAUGACCAGCCACACUGGAACUGAGACACGGUCCAGACUCCUACGGGAGGCAGCAGUGGGGAAUAUUGCACAAUGGGCGCAAGCCUGAUGCAGCCAUGCCGCGUGUAUGAAGAAGGCCUUCGGGUUGUAAAGUACUUUCAGCGGGGAGGAAGGUGUUGUGGUUAAUAACCGCAGCAAUUGACGUUACCCGCAGAAGAAGCACCGGCUAACUCCGUGCCAGCAGCCGCGGUAAUACGGAGGGUGCAAGCGUUAAUCGGAAUUACUGGGCGUAAAGCGCACGCAGGCGGUCUGUCAAGUCGGAUGUGAAAUCCCCGGGCUCAACCUGGGAACUGCAUUCGAAACUGGCAGGCUUGAGUCUUGUAGAGGGGGGUAGAAUUCCAGGUGUAGCGGUGAAAUGCGUAGAGAUCUGGAGGAAUACCGGUGGCGAAGGCGGCC
rnacentral:rRNA from 1 species